ACCAGACUCCUACGGGAGGCAGCAGUGGGGAAUAUUGCACAAUGGGGGGAACCCUGAUGCAGCGACGCCGCGUGAGUGAAGAAGUAUUUCGGUAUGUAAAGCUCUAUCAGCAGGGAAGAAAAUGACAGUACCUGACUAAGAAGCCCCGGCUAACUACGUGCCAGCAGCCGCGGUAAUACGUAGGGGGCAAACGUUAUCCGGAUUUACUGGGUGUAAAGGGAGCGUAGACGGCUGCGCAAGUCAGAAGUGAAAGCCCGGGGCUCAACCGCGGGACUGCUUUUGAAACUGUGUAGCUAGAGUGCAGGAGAGGUAAGUGGAAUUCCUAGUGUAGCGGUGAAAUGCGUAGAUAUUAGGAGGAACACCGGUGGCGAAGGCGGCUUACUGGACUGUAACUGACGUUGAGGCUCGAAAGCGUGGGGAGCAAACAGGAUUAGAUACCCCAGUA
rnacentral:rRNA from 1 species